AUUGAACGCUGGCGGCAUGCUUUACACAUGCAAGUCGAACGGUAACAGGCCUUCGGGUGCUGACGAGUGGCGAACGGGUGAGUAAUGCAUCGGAACGUACCCAGAGGUGGGGGAUAACGCAGCGAAAGCUGUGCUAAUACCGCAUGUGAUCUGAGGAUGAAAGCGGGGGACCGAGCAGCAAUGUUUGGCCUCGCGCCUUUGGAGCGGCCGAUGUCGGAUUAGCUAGUUGGUGGGGUAAAGGCCUACCAAGGCGACGAUCCGUAGCUGGUCUGAGAGGACGACCAGCCACACUGGGACUGAGACACGGCCCAGACUCCUACGGGAGGCAGCAGUGGGGAAUUUUGGACAAUGGGCGCAAGCCUGAUCCGGCAAUGCCGCGUGCGGGAAGAAGGCCUUCGGGUUGUAGACCGCUUUUGGCAGGAACGAAACGGUGUCCGCUAAUACCGGGCGCUAAUGACGGUACCUGCAGAAUAAGCACCGGCUAACUACGUG
rnacentral:rRNA from 1 species